rnacentral:rRNA from 1 species
GACGAACGCUGGCGGCGUGCUUAACACAUGCAAGUCGAACGGUGAACCUCUUCGGAGGGGAUCAGUGGCGAACGGGUGAGUAACACGUGGGCAACCUGCCCCCGGCUCUGGGAUAACUCCAAGAAAUUGGGGCUAAUACCGGAUGUUCACCGCUUCCCGCAUGGGUGGUGGUGGAAAGGGUUUCCGGCUGGGGAUGGGCCCGCGGCCUAUCAGCUUGUUGGUGGGGUAGUGGCCUACCAAGGCGACGACGGGUAGCCGGCCUGAGAGGGUGACCGGCCACACUGGGACAGGGGCACGGCCCAGACUCCUACGGGAGGCAGCGGUGGGGAAUAGUGCGCAAUGGGCGGAGGCCUGACGCAGCGACGCCGCGUGGGGGAUGACGGCCUUCGGGUUGUAAACAUCUUUCAGCAGGGACGAAGCGCAAGUGACGGUACCUGCAGAGGAAGCACCGGCCAACUACGU